UUUUUUUGGAUCACCACCAUUGUACCGAGGCUUCGGGUUAUGCAAAUGAUGAUUUUUGGCUUCGUAGUGUGCUGUCACGAAGUUUCCCGCCUCCUCAGUAAUGAAUGCUUCGGCCAUCGAUGCUUCAAUUCUACGUUUAUUUGUACACUUAGCUCGAAGUGUCUUCUGCAUCCUCUUAGUUGAGUAGCACCAUCGAUUUUGAACGG
rnacentral:lncRNA from 1 species